UACGGAGGGUGCGAGCGUUGUCCGGAAUCACUGGGCGUAAAGGGCGCGUAGGCGGUUCUUCAAGCGUGUGGUGAAAGUCCGGGGCUCAACCCCGGAUCGGCCGUGCGAACUGGGGGACUCGAGCACUGUAGAGGCGGGUGUAAUUCCGGGUGUAGCGGUGGAAUGCGUAGAGAUCCGGAAGAACACCAGUGGCGAAGGCGGCCCGCUGGGCAGUGGCUGACGCUGAGGCGCGACAGCGUGGGGAGCAAACAGG
rnacentral:rRNA from 1 species